AUCCUCUCAGGAUCACACCUGGAGAGUUUCCAGUACUCUGCCAGUCUCGGCUAUGGGAGGAAGAGUCAAGCAGAGGCCUGCCCAUUCCAUUCCUACCUUGGGCAGUGGCUAGGGAGUGGAAGGCAAUCUACUACAAGU
rnacentral:snoRNA from 1 species